rnacentral:lncRNA from 1 species
GUUAUUAGCUGGUAAAAACAAACAGCAAUUAAAAGCUAUCUUAUUUGAGCCAACCUAGCUAGCCCUAAUACGUAUUAUGCGGUUUCUAUAUGCUUAUUGAAGAUUUGACCUUUGACAAUAAUCGGCGCCAGAGGGAACACCUAAAGGAAUGAACGAACGAGUUGAAGUUGAAGUUGAAGGUGACAGGAGGAGGAUAGUCACGAUGCCAGAGGGAACGCCGAAAGGAAUCAAGUAGUUGAAGUUGAAUGUUA